rnacentral:rRNA from 1 species
UACGGAGGGGGCGAGCGUUAUUCGGAAUCAUUGGGCGUAAAGGGCGCGUAGGCGGCUUUGUAAGUCUUGGGUGAAAGCCCUCGGCUCAACCGAGGAAUUGCCUUGGAUACUGCGAAGCUCGAGGCUGGAAGAGGACAGUGGAAUUCCCGGUGUAGCGGUGAAAUGCGUAGAUAUCGGGAGGAAUACCGGUGGCGAAGGCGGCAGCCUGGACCGGCAUUGACGCUGAGGAGCGAAAGCCAGGGGAGCAAACGGG